rnacentral:rRNA from 1 species
UGGGGAAUAUUGCACAAUGGGCGCAAGCCUGAUGCAGCCAUGCCGCGUGUGUGAAGAAGGCCUUCGGGUUGUAAAGCACUUUCAGCGGGGAGGAAGGCAUUAAGGUUAAUAACCUUAGUGAUUGACGUUACCCGCAGAAGAAGCACCGGCUAACUCCGUGCCAGCAGCCGCGGUAAUACGGAGGGUGCAAGCGUUAAUCGGAAUUACUGGGCGUAAAGCGCACGCAGGCGGUCUGUCAAGUCGGAUGUGAAAUCCCCGGGCUCAA